rnacentral:lncRNA from 1 species
GCUAAGAAAGUGGUGGGAAGGAGGAGGGUGGAACAGAGCUUUAUGGACCCUUUUCUUCAAAACUACUACAGAGUUAACUGGCCAAUCCGGACUACAAAUUAUCUCAUCCGAAGGAUUAGAGUUAGAUAACAUGGGUCUUCAAGUUCAAAAGCUUUACUGGCAAAACAACAAACCUGCAUGCUGUAACUCUUUUGCAGUGAGGGGGACGGUGCUACCUGGCAAUUGAGAAGAG